rnacentral:lncRNA from 1 species
CAAGACCUUUGUAUACAUGAUCUUUCUUCAUUUCUCUACCAAGUCUGUAAGGUAAAUGAAACCAAGGAAAAUAAGAGAGCUCUUGGCUGUCAAACGGAGGGACUAAUAAAUGGAAGAAGCUCUGCCUGGAAGCAGGGUCAAGGUGAGCCAUGCUUAAGUUCAGACUCAUGUUG